UACGUAGGGUGCAAGCGUUGUCCGGAAUUAUUGGGCGUAAAGAGCUCGUAGGCGGUUUGUUACGUCGGCUGUGAAAUCCCGAGGCUCAACCUCGGGUCUGCAGUCGAUACGAGCAAACUAGAGUGUUGCAGGGGAGACUGGAAUUCCUGGUGUAGCGGUGAAAUGCGCAGAUAUCAGGAGGAACACCGGUGGCGAAGGCGGGUCUCUGGGCAACAACUGACGCUGAGGAGCGAAAGCGUGGGGAGCGAACAGG
rnacentral:rRNA from 1 species